rnacentral:rRNA from 1 species
UACGUAGGGUGCGAGCGUUGUCCGGAAUUAUUGGGCGUAAAGGGCGCGUAGGCGGUGCGGUAAGUCACCUGUGAAAUCUCCUGGCUCAACUGGGAGCUUGCAGGCGAAACUGCCGUGCUGGAGUGUGGGAGAGGUGCGUGGAAUUCCUGGUGUAGCGGUGAAAUGCGUAGAUAUCAGGAGGAACACCUGUGGUGAAAGCGGCGCACUGGACCACAACUGACGCUGAGGCGCGAAAGCUAGGGGAGCAAACAGG